GAUGAACGCUGGCGGCGUGCCUAAUACAUGCAAGUAGAGCGAACAGACGAGGAGUUUGCUCCCCUGAUGUUUGCCGCAGACGUGAGAAUAACACGUGGAUCACCUACCUAUGAGACGGGGAUAACUUCGGGACACCGGAUCUAACCGCGUAAAAUAUAUUGAACCACGUGGUUCACUAGAAAAAUACGGUUUUGUCGCUACCUAUUGAUGCUUCCGCGCCGCAUUGGCUAGUUGGUAAGGUAACGGCUUACCAAGGCAACGAUUCGUAGCCGACCUGAGAGGGUGAUCGGCCACACUGGAACUGAGACACGGUCCAGACUCCUACGGGAGGCAGCAGUAGGGAAUCUUCCGCAAUGGGCGAAAGCUUGACGGAGCAACGCCGCGUGAGUGAUGAAGGUUUUCGGAUCGUAAAGCUCUGUUAUUAGGGAAGAACGAAUGUGUAAGUAACUAUGCCCGUCUGGAAGGGAACUAAUCAGAAAAGCAAGGGUAACUUCGGC
rnacentral:rRNA from 1 species